CACAGAGAGCAGAUGCAUAUUCUUUUCUGUCCUGCGUAGUUAGAAAUAAAACGUAGCGAUGUAGCUCAUAUUUCUCGCUCUUCUGCUGCUGUUUGGAUACUCUGCAUAAUGGGAACGUGCCUGGAGCCUCAUCAAAGGCCUAGGUCGUUAAUCACCGUCGGAGGAGAUUCCGAAGGCUCGACCGGUGGAGUAGAGUUCCAACACCUAAUUCCCACCUUCUCAGUAAAUAUGUGGACAGCAACACAGCUGUUCUUUGAAAUUCUCUCUUCUCUGAAUUUUGCAAAUGUAGUUUCUCCAGCCAGGGAAUGUUUAUGGAAAGGUACAUAGUAGGAUAAAACGUGUGUUAAAAAGGCACAGAUGCAUAAAAAUAACUUCCAAAAAUACAUUGUAUGAGGGGAAAUCACUUUGUAAGACGUGUGUAUACUAGGCACAAUGGCAUACAAAACUGCGAAUCUUGGGAGAAGUUCACACUAGAAUGCUGGUGAAUUUUCAUGAGGACUUUUUAAAAUAAAACACACAAACCCAUGUGGAAAUAGAAAGUACUGAGGAUCAUCUAGUCCAACCCCCUGCAGUGCAGGAAUAUGAAGCUGUCCCAUAAGAGAAUCAAACCUGCAGCCUUGGUGUUAGCGGCACCAUGCUCUAACCACCUGAGCUAUCCAGUUGGUUGUUUUAAUUAUUGCAUUUCUACCCCACCUUUUUUCCUCCAAGGACCUCAAUGGUUCUCCCCCUACUCAUUUAAUCCCCACAAUGACCCUAUGAGGUAGGUUAGGCUGAGAGGCAAUGACAGGCCCAAGGUCACCCAGUGAGCAUACUGGCCAAGUGUGGAUUUGAACCCUGGUCUCUCCCAGGUCCUGGCCUGACAUUGCACCAUGCUGGCUCUCAGUUUGGCCUCACAAGCCACCCAGCUGCCUUUAAAAUGCCUUAUUGAGCCUCUCUCUCUUUUCUCCAUAAAUGGCCUGACAUUACAUUCCUCCAAGGGUUUCAAGGUGACAUGUGCACACAUACACACACACACACACACACACACACACACACGACUUUCCCUUCCUUACCCCUAUUUUCACAAUGACAACCCAGUGGUGCUAAAACAGGGCUAAGCGUCUCCUGCCCCCUCUGGGUGUAAUUAUUUUGUGGGAGAGAUCCACUUGCACCAGCACAACAAAUCCACAUUGAAAAUAAGAGCUGCUGGCAACGGAAUAGACAACCUCAGAAGGUGCUGGACUUUCCUUCAUUGGAAGUUUUGAAGCAGAGGUUGGGUGGCCAUCUGCCAGAGAUUCUUGAGCUGUGAUUCCUGCAUUGCAAGGGGUUGGGCUAUUUGACCCUUGGGGUUCCUUCCAACUAUGACUCUAUGAAAAAGAAUCAGGCUUUCUGCUGUUUGGAAAGCAAUGGGGAAAGGCAUUCAGUUGUGUGGGAUGAACUGGUGAUUCGUGGCAUGAUGUUUAAGUUCCUUGCAAGCAAGCUGGGGAUGGAUGCAGAACAAAGGCUCCCCCUGCUCCCACAAACCUAUCAAGGCAAAUAGCUAUAAUCUCACCUCUUUGUCAGCCUGCUGCCAGCAAAUCAGGAUGAUAGAUCAAUUAGCAGGUUGUCUGGAGGGGCCCUAAGAGAGACUGACUGGCCCAAUGUCCCCCCUUUGUGGCUGAGCUGGGAAACUGCAGGCCCUCCACCAGGGGGCUUAAGCAGAAGGUGACCAAUGGUUCAUCCAGCCCUGGGCAGUGGGUGGGAAUGGCUUGAGAUUUAGCCUCAUGCACAAAAGUUCAGACUGCAGUUUUGCCUGCCAGGGCCAGCCUGCCCAUGAGGCAGACUGAGGCAGCUGCCUCGGGUGAGAGAAUCCCAUGGGACAGUGCCCCUGUAGGCAACCCGCCUGCCCCUGCUGCCACCACUGGAGAAGAAAGGAGAAGAAAAGGCUUCUUGAGAUCUCAUGAUCACUGUGUGGCCCUGAUAAGCAAGGCUUCAAUGUGGGGGUGGAGGGCAGGGGGAAGCAGCAGGGGGUCACCUUCCCACUUCGCCUCGGGCGGCAAAACGGGUUGGACCACCCUUGUGGCUGGCUACCAGUCUCCUAAGCAUGAAAGACCCUGUGUUUCAAGUAAGUCCUGGGUCUUUUGAUGGAGGCUGCUCCCCAUAAAUUGCCUAGAUCAGGUUAAGUAAUGCUCCCCUGCCCCCUUCUCCAGCUUGCAAUUUCCCUUCCUGAUGUCCCAAAUUUUGGUUCAGCCUGCCCUAUUGCAAUUACAGCAUAGCUGCUGCAUUGGUAUAAAUCUAAUCGACUUUUUGGCCUUGUCAGAUUAAAAGCUACCUCUCAGCCCACUGCAGUCCUCUAGAUCUCCUUAAAUCUGUACUUGGCUGAGGAUUUAUGGCCAGGAAUUGCAUUUUGCAAAAUGAUUAAAGUUACCAAACAGCCAUAAAAAGUUGCAGCGGCAAAUAUCAUUUUUUUGAAAGCCUGCUUAAUUUAUAAGAGGUGGAAGGUUUAUUGUCAUUUAGAGUCCACAGUGAUGCAGCAAUUUCACAUCCCGCUGGUGCUUGUACAUAGACGGCAGCUGGCUCAUUGGUGAGUUUUGCAUGUUUUAAAGUACCAAGUUUGGAUCUGAGGCUGCCUGCAGAAGCAGGGAAAUGUGGGACUCAGUCACAGCCCAGCGUUCUGCUCCUGGUGAAGCUCAGCCCAGUUCCUUUCCACAAGCAGGAAGGGUGGGUGAGUGGACAGAUGGACAGGCUUUCUGGCAAGGGGAUGCAGGCAGCUGAGUGAGCCCUCCUGUCCUGACUGAGCCCACCCCCCCUGAGAGCUACCAAGGGUGUUUGGUUUCCCCCCUCAUCAGCACAUCUUUAAGGUUUGCAUUUACCUGAUGUGGUUCUCCUUCAGAUUUUGAUUUCCAUAAUUCUGAUGCAGUCAGGUGAGAGGGAGGACCCACUGGUGCCCUUUAAGCAUCCCAGAUCUUGUACCUCUUGGCUUGCUGGCUGUUUAACAGGGAAAGUGCUUAUCCCAGCUGCAUCCAUGCACGAAAUCCGCACUCGGCACUUGUCUGCCAAUUAUUCUUAAUUGGCUGGGACAACAGAACGGUCCGACUUGCUUGGGACCAGGAUCCUGCAAUUUGCUUAGGGCAGAUUUCACUAUGUGUGCUGAAUUUUGAAAUUCCUUAAAUCAUUAGUAUUUUAGGAGGGAGAGUAGCGAAGCAUUGCAAAUGUGCACAACACCUGAACUCAGAAAUGUGCUCCUUGCUCUCCAGGAACAUUUAUUCCAAAGUAAUCAGCUGCCACAACUACACCUGUUUGCUUUCAGGAAGACUGUCGCCUUUAAGAUGUGGGCACGUUCAUUUCAAUGAGUCUACAGUGAGUAUGUCUAACAAUGGUUAUCACCUGUCUGAAUAUAAUUUAUACAUCUUUUUGCUUUUGCUUUUUUAAUAGGCUGCUUUUCGAACAGAAGACUUCACAAAGUGGUUUACAAAAAUAUGCACCAACAAAUAAGCCAUAAUGCAGCUUUAAAACAAGAUGAAAACAGACAUUCCAUGACAUUUGCAACAUACAAAAUACUACUAAACUCACCAUAUGCUGAGAGUGCUCAGGCCAAAAUUCCAAAAACAACUCCGAAGUGAAGGGGAAUGUUGAGAAAUGUGGUGUUUGUGUGGACACUGGCAAUUUUGAAGAACACGAC